AGUCGAACGGACUUAAUCGAUUCUUUUAGAUUCGAAGCGGUUAGUGGCGGACCGGUGAGUAACACGUAAGCAACCUGCCUAUUAGAGGGGAAUAACAGUGAGAAAUCACUGCUAAAACCGCAUAUGCCGUGAACAUCGCAUGAUGAAAACGGGAAAAGAGCAAUCUGCUAAUAGAUGGGCUUGCGUCUGAUUAGCUAGUUGGUGUGGUAAAGGCAUACCAAGGCAACGAUCAGUAGCCGGACUGAGAGGUUGAACGGCCACAUUGGGACUGAGAUACGGCCCAGACUCCUACGGGAGGCAGCAGUCGGGAAUAUUGCGCAAUGGAGGAAACUCUGACGCAGUGACGCCGCGUAUGGGAAGAAGGUUUUCGGAUUGUAAACCAUUUUAGACAAGGAAGAAACAAGACAGUACUUGUAGAAUAAGCUCCGGCUAACUACGUGCCAGCAGCCGCGGUAAUACGUAGGGAGCAAGCGUUAUCCGGAUUUAUUGGGUGUAAAGGGUGCGUAGACGGGAAGGUAAGUUAGUUGUGAAAUCCCUCGGCUCAACUGAGGAACUGCGACUAAAACUGCUUUUCUUGAGUGCUGGAGAGGAAAGUGGAAUUCCUAGUGUAGCGGUGAAAUGCGUAGAUAUUAGGAGGAACACCAGUGGCGAAGGCGACUUUCUGGACAGUAACUGACGUUGAGGCACGAAAGUGUGGGGAGCAAACAGGAUUAGAUACCCUGGUAGUCCACACCGUAAACGAUGGAUAC
rnacentral:rRNA from 1 species